rnacentral:sRNA from 1 species
CGAGUUUCGAAUCAUGUCCACACACGUAUCGGCACAUGCGACUGGGUGCCCGGCGAUCCGGGUUGUCGCGUGGGAUGCGUGGAGGUCCAAC